rnacentral:misc_RNA from 1 species
GCAAACUUGGUCAUUUAGAGGAAGUAAAAGUCGUAACAAGGUUUCCGUAGGUGAACCUGCGGAAGGAUCAUUACUGAAUUGCACCCCUGUGGUGCUUCCCUCAUCCCUCUGGGAUUUGGGGCUUUCCAAACCCCUGUGCACCUCGGCUGGUCUCACCUUCCUUUGCGGGAAGGUGCUGCACCUGCUUUUUUUUUAUCUUACUCCUGCUAUGUUUGCCGAACGUUCAUUCUGUAUAUUUUGAAAACAACUUUCAACAAUGGAUCUCUUGGCUCUCGCAUCGAUGAAGAACGCAGC